UUUCCAACAGAUCAGCGACCUAUAGGGUUGGCCAUACAAUGCCUCGUACGAGACCAUACCGAUAUUUACUUGGUAACUAUUAUUGUAGGCAAACUCUAUCAAGGGUAGAUCAUCAUCCCAAUGGCCUCUGAAGUCUAAAUACAAGCUUGGAGCAUAUCCUCCAGUGUGCAAAUUUUCUGUUAUGAUUGUCCAUCGGUUUGAAGGUGGAAUGCAGUGUUGAGGGAUAGUUUCGUUCCCAUUACUAACUGAAAACUAGACAAAAACAAAGAGGU
rnacentral:lncRNA from 1 species